rnacentral:rRNA from 1 species
UACGUAGGGGGCAAGCGUUGUCCGGAUUUAUUGGGCGUAAAGAGCGUGUAGGCGGCCUGAAAGGUCAGCUGUGAAAACUCGAGGCUCAACCUCGAGACGUCGGUUGAAACCAUCUGGCUAGAGUCCGGAAGAGGAGUGUGGAAUUCCCGGUGUAGCGGUGAAAUGCGCAGAUAUCAGGAGGAACACCGGUGGUGUAAACGGCUUUCUGGACCAUAACUGACGCUGAGGCACGAAAGCGUGGGUAGCAAACAGG